GUUCUCUGCAGACUGGGCUCGUCUCACUCUUGUAGCUGAGAGCUUACUGCUUUUUCUGUGGCCUUUGUCCUGGCAGCAUCCCUAUGUCCCAGUUCUGUCUCGAGGCAUGCUGGACUUCCUCAUGGCACCCACAACGUUCCUUAUGGGCUGUCACAUCAGCCAUUUUGAAGAAGUUGCAUCUGAAACGGAUGAUCUUGUCCUUAUUAAUCUUGAUAACGGAGGCGUGUCCACCUCCUGCUCAGAGACUGUUCAUUUACCGGACAUUCCUGCGUCUGCUGCUGAGUGCUUCUCACAGAGGUAAACACUACAUAAUGUACCAACAUCACCUGUUCAUGAGGGCAAUGAUAUUCACCCAUUUUUCUGUUUGGCAGGUGCCAGUCCUUACAACUGCAGUUCGACCUGAGCCACUGUCACAGUCCCAGCAGCACUGA
rnacentral:lncRNA from 1 species